CACGUAGGGUGCGAGCGUUGUUCGGAAUUAUUGGGCGUAAAGAGCUCGUAGGCGGUUUGUCGCGUCUGCUGUGAAAACUCGGGGCUUAACCCCGGGCCUGCAGUGGGUACGGGCAGACUAGAGUGCGGUAGGGGAGACUGGAAUUCCUGGUGUAGCGGUGGAAUGCGCAGAUAUCAGGAGGAACACCGGUGGCGAAGGCGGAUCUCUGGGCCAUAACUGACGCUGAGGAGCGAAAGCGUGGGGAGCGAACAGG
rnacentral:rRNA from 1 species